rnacentral:ncRNA from 1 species
UUAAUUAGUUUAUAAAUUUAAUUUUGGUUUAUAUUUAAUAGUUUUAUGAUAAUUUUAAUAUGUAAGUAUUUGCGUGAUUUGGUAUUUAUUUAAAUAAUAGAUAUUUAUGUUUAUUCGCAGUUUUUAUUUUUGUAAUAUUUAAUAUUUUAAGAUAUGGUUAAUUGUAAAAUGACUAGCAAAAAUUGUGCCAGCAGCUGCGGUUAUACAAUUAGUCGAAAUUAUUUUGGUUAGGGAAUUAUUAGUUUUUAUGUUUAUUGAUUAUAUACUCCAGAUUUUUAAGUGAAAUUUUAAAUUUGGGUUAAAUAGUUAGGUAAUAUAAUUAUAAGAUAUUUUUAAUUGUAGACUAGGAUUAGAUACCCUAUUAUUUAAAAUGUAAAAUUUUCCUCAGUAUUAAUAGUUAAGAUCUUUAAAUUGAAAAAAUUUGACGGUAAUUUAAUCAUUUUAGAGGAACCUGUUCUGUAAUCGAUAAUCCACGAUAAAUUUUACCUUUAUUAAUUGGUUUGUAUAUCUCUGUCUUGUUGAAUGUUUUAUUAGAAUAUUUUCUUUAAAUUUUUUUAAAGGUUAUGUCAGGUCAAGGUGCAGCUAUAUAAAGGGUUGAAAUGGGUUACAUUUAAUGUUAAAAAUUAUUGAAUAAUUUUUUUUAUAGAAUAUUGAAAUUGGAUUUAAUUGUAAUGGUUAAUAUAUAUUAUUCAUGAUAUAUGUUCUUGAUUAAGUACAUAUCGCCCGUCACUCUCAUAUAUAAGAUGAGAUAAGUCGUAACAAAGUAGUUCUAUCGGAAGAUGGAGCUAGAAUAUA